UAAGAAGAACGGCUGUAAUAAUUUGAACGGUUCGGACCAUAAGGGGAAGGAGUUUCACCACUGGAAUUAGAAAUUAGUAACAGGGACCUACGACUCGUUAUGCAGAAAGAGAGAGGGAACAUAAAUGAUUUAAAGAAAAGCUCAGGCAGAUACAUGGGGAACAUAGAGAUGAGCAUCAGUUGUAACUUCACAGAGAAAAGGGAAGACACGCUGAUCAGUAAUCAAGUUGCAACAUAACUAAGAAGCCAACAUGGAAUGGAAAACAGACUUAUCCCACGGCAAGGUAACUCCGUACUUAUCAUUCACAGCUGCAAGAAAAGUAGGAAAGUCUAGAUUAAGCUAUUAGGUUGAAGAACCCUGCCUUAAGUUUA